rnacentral:rRNA from 1 species
GACAGAGGAUGCAAGCGUUAUCCGGAAUGAUUGGGCGUAAAGCGUCUGUAGGUGGCUUUUUAAGUCCGCCGUCAAAUCCCAGGGCUUCAACCCUGGACAGGCGGUGGAAACUACCAAGCUUGAGUACAGUAGGGGCGGGAGGGAAUUUCCGGUGGAGCGGUGAAAUGCAUAGAUAUCGGGAGGAACACCAACGGCGAAAGCACUCCGGCUGGGCUGAUACUGACACUGACAGACGAAGCUAGG